CAGCAUGUUUGUCCAGUCUGGUUUACAAAUGGGCAGCUCAACAAGUGGUGCUGUCAUAAAGUUCGAAAGCUGCAGCAGAUUUGUGAUCUCACUUCGAAUCUGAGAUCCGAUGUUCCUCUCGAGCGUUGUUUAAUUAGCAAAACAUAUGAAGAUACAAAAUUAUUUUAGUUUCAUUGUUUUACCUUGUGGAAUCUGCUGAAGGUUGUUUUCCCUUUUGGUUGUUGAAAAUGCGAAUCUUCGCAAUCUUGUUGGUGGGACUGGGACUGACGGAAGCGCGCGACAAAGAUAAAGGUGUUGGCAACAAGGAUGCUGUGGAUUAUGCAAAACGUUCGGCCAUCUCCAUUUAUCACCACGACGAAAUUGCUCAAAGUAAGUUAUGCGAAUUAUUUGCUAGACAAGAAUUAUUGCAUGUUACUCAUAUAAU